CUACUUAAGAUGGUUGCAAUCUGAUCCCUGCGCUCUUUUGAAAUACCAAUCCCUAGAACCAUAGACUUCUCAAAGUUAAUUUUUAAACCCGAGAGUAGUUCUUAGGAGUAAAGUAUAAACUUUAAAAUAGUGAUGUUUUUUUUAAGCACAAUACUAAAGAUGAGAGUGUCGUCUGAAAAUUGGAGGUUAUGAAAAUGGCCGGUGAUCUCUUUUUCUCCGAUGCAUUUUACCAUUUGGUGUGUAGUUGCUGUUUUGAGGAUUCUAUCUAGAGUGUCAACCAGUAGAAUAAAUAGCUAGGGUGAGAGCGGGUCUCGUUGUCAUAACCCUCUAUAAUGUCUGAACAUUUUUCUUAAUGUACCAUUGAUUAGGAUUAAUGAUUUAGCUAUGGAGACAAUGUCUAUAAUCCACCUACGCCACUUGUCUCCAAAUCCUCUUAUUCUUAAG
rnacentral:lncRNA from 1 species